rnacentral:rRNA from 13 species
UCGAAUGAAGCAAGACUACCCGCUGAACUUAAGCAUAUCACUAAGCGGAGGAGAAGAAACUAACCAGGAUGCCCCUAGUAAUGGCGAAUGAAGCGGGCAUAGCUCACGCCGCCAAUCUGGAGGUCUCUACGACGACCCCCCGAAUUGUAGUCUAGAAAGGCGCCAUCGGCCGCGUCCGCCGCUCAAAUCCCCUGGAACGGGGUAUCGGAGAAGGUGAGAAUCCUGUGCCGUGGCGGUUCGCGGUCGCACGAUGCGCUCUUGCAGAGUCGGGUUGCUUGGGAUUGCAGCUUGAAUUGGGUGGUAAAUUCCAUCUAAAGCUAAAUACUGGCGAGAGACCGAUAGCGAACAAGUACCGUGAGGGAAAGAUGCAAAGAACUUUGAAAAGAGAGUUAAAGAGUGCUUGAAAUCGGCAAGAGGAAACCCGUUUGCGCCCGGUGUCGUCUCUUCGGCUCAGCCAUGCCUCCUGGUGUGGUGCACUUCGGAGAGACGGGUCAGCUCGCGCUGCGUGGGCGUCACACACAUCCAGGUAGGGCUCCGGUGAGCCUGGUUGGAUGGCGCGCGCUCGGCGUCGGCUGACGGAACGGGCGCAACCGACCCGUCUAGUAACACGGACCAAGGAGUCUGACACGUGUGCGAGUACCCGGGUGGCAAGCCCGCGUGCGCAAUGAAAGUGAAGGGCGUUCGGCGCCAACCGACCUUGAUCUUCUGUGAAGGGUUUGAGUGGAGCACACUUGUCGGGACCCGAAAGAUGGUGAACUAUGCCUGAGGAGGGUGAAGCCAGAGGAAACUCUGGUGGAGGCUCGUAG